AUUCUCAUUCUCCUACUCUUUUUUUGGUAGUGGGGCCCGAGUGAAUGAAUUUGAUGGAAAUUUUUCUGUGCUGAUUGAAGGAUUUUUUCCUUUUCUGGUUUGCCUAUGCCUAUUUGGUAUUAUCAUAGAUAUCUGCUGAUGUGUUAAUGAUGAAUAUAUGCUUUGUUCGUAUGAUUGAUUAUAAUUUUCUUGGAAAUAUGCUUUAAGAGAUGUUGAAGUGAUUUAUUUCCUUGUUUGGACCUAAUCCACGGAAUAGAAGUGUGAGAGGAGGGAUUAUAGGUAAUUAAUUAGUAAGAUAGUGGAUGAAACAAAAUUUUUCCUAAAUCUGCCCCUACAUUACAUAUAUAUGAUAUAUCAAGCUUUUAAUGGAUUUGGAAUGUUUUUUAAAUGUUCAAUAAGUUGUUACACCCCAGGAAUAUUAGUUGUUUCUUUUAGUUAUAGGUGGUUUUUGGUUGGUUUGAUUUAUCACAUCCAAUGAACUGUAGUUGUUUCUUUUACUUUAUUUAGGUUCAACUUACUUGGGGGUGACCCUGCAGCAUAAUUGCAGAAACCCACAGGAUUAUUUAAAUUUUAGGGCAUCAAGUAUAAAGUUAUUGCGUUGAGGCAACAAGGAUAAUAGUGUCGUUAAUGAGUUUUGUGUCAUAUGGGGAACAUUGAAGAUUAUACCUCUAAUAUAGGAAUUAGGAAUAUAAAUUAGCUUGAUCAAUUAUGUGUCUGUUAGCUGAUUUAUGAAAGUGGUUGUUGUUUUGGCCAACAACAUGCCUUUCUUGUUUUCAUCGUCUAUGUGGUUUUGCUAAUAUCAGGCAGAGUUGCUGAAUCUUGAGGUAAUGAUUUAUGGCUAAUACCAAUUUAGGGCCCUGUCCAUUACAGAAAUUUUACAAAUCAAGAUUUUGAAGAACUGUGCUAAGGCAUUGGUUUAAGGAACUUUCAAUUCUUUGUUUAGCUGUAGGAUAGGGCCUUCUUUCCCAUAUUGCUUAUCAGUCCUUUGAACUUUGGAGUCUUUUUUAUUCUGCAUAUUUCAAAAGAUUAGAAAGAAGUUGCCAGCUUAAGAUAGGGGUAGAAUGAGUAUAAGAUUGUAUAUAGUUGAGAUGGCAAUAUAAUGAGUUUCUAGUUUAUGUGUUUUAUGGAAUUAAAAGUUGUAUUUAUUUCCUAAACUGAAUAGGACCUCUCUGUGCCAAAUAUCCUGCCAGCUUUUAUAGACAUUUUUUAAUUAAUAACCAAUAACUUAAUCUUUCUUUAUUAGAACAUAAAAUGAAUGGGAUAAGCAUUAUAAAAAUGUGGCUUUAGAUAGACCUGCAUUUCAAAAUAUUGGCUUUCUGAAAGACGAAGCUGCAUUAACAAAAAGCAUCUUUCCAACCUGUUCUUGUCUAAACAGAAUACUUUACAAGCACUAGACCCAGGACUUCCUUCAUCUGCAACAGUUAUUGCCUGAAACUUACAGUGUUUACUGGUCCACUCACCAACAACCAGCUUGCCCAAAUCACAUAAACAGGUGGUAGUGUUCUAGAGUUAGUCUUCAAAGCUAAAAAGAAAGUCAUACAAGUCAAAAACUUGUUUCUGUGAGAAGAGAGUUUUAGAGGGGAGAUUAAAGAGAGAGAGAGAGAGGACUUUAUUUUUGGGAACUAUGGAGUUAGAAAAGAAAAGAAAGCUAAAGGAGAAUUUGAGAUUAAUGAAAUAUGAGUGGCAUUCAUAAGACACAUUUAAGGAAUAAAACUUGCUAAACCACAUUUACAAAGUACACUUUUGCUGAAUAUCUAUUAUUGAAAAUGUGAUCUUAGAGUAAGGAAAUAUGAGUAGAUUCAGAAGAUGCAUUUAAGGAAUGAAGCUUGCUAAACUGCAUUUACAAAGUGCACUUUUGCAAAAUAUCUACUAUUGAAAUGUGAAAGCCACAUAUUUGAAAAGUCACUUAUAUAAAAAAGUUGCAUAUUGUAUUAGCUUUUGGUAAAACACUUCCAAAUCAUUAUAUUUCAGUAAAAGUUCUCUCACCACAAGAUUCUUAAAUCAUCAUUGCACAUCUAUUUUUUUGUGGUGUAGAUGUGUAAUCAAGAAUUCCUAACUAUUUGCUGCUGGCUUCUAAAAUAGGAUGAAACAUAUAUUGCUCCCUGGUGGUCCUUUUUUUGUAGUGUAGUGAAGGAUUGUCACCCCUUGGUGCCUUAUAAUAAAGUUAUACACUCACCUAUCAAAGAGAAUGAUCUAACGAGUGAAAAGUCAAUACUUGAGCGAUUUAACUGCAUUAUGCCACAGUUAGAAGCUUCUAAGGCUGUAUGCAAUUCGAUCACAUAUUAUAAUUUAGUCAUUGCUUAUGAUGAGUACUUUAAUUUGUGUGAAAGUUUUACUUAAUGGUUGUUUCAUCUGUUUUGACAUUUCAUUCAAUGUACGUUUUGGUUUUAACUUUUAACAUAAGUGAGGUAAUGUUCCUAAUUCCAUAGUCUUAUUGGCCAUAGUGAAACUUCUUGUUCUGGCUCUUGUAUCAGUUUUGACAUUUAAUAUCAGGUGUGGGAACUGGGAACAUAAUACAACUGAAUAAUGAGGAGUUAAUUUGCUCCUUUUCUAAGCUACCCAUGUGAUUAUGCCGAGUCUAUUUGGAUGGUCCAAGAAAUUGAUUAUGCCGAGUCUAUUUGGAUGGUCCAAGAAAUUGAUUUUAUUCCCUUUUUGUUGCACUACGUUGAUGCAAUUAA